UAGGCAGCGAGCGUUGUUCGGAAUUACUGGGCGUAAAGAGUGUGUAGGCGGUGCUCCAAGUCUGGUGUGAAAUUUCCCGGCUCAACUGGGAGGGUGCGCCGGAAACUGGAGUGCUCGAGUGUGGGAGAGGAAAGCGGAAUUCCCGGUGUAGCGGUGGAAUGCGUAGAUAUCGGGAGGAACACCUGUGGUGUAGACAGCUUUCUGGACCAUCCCUGACGCUGAGACACGAAAGCGUGGGUAGCAAACAGGAUUAGAUACCCUGGUAAAGGGCGAA
rnacentral:rRNA from 1 species